rnacentral:rRNA from 1 species
AUUGAACGCUGGCGGCAGGCCUAACACAUGCAAGUCGAACGAGUGGCGGACGGGGGAGUAAUGUCUGUGAAAAUGCCUGAUGGAAGGGGAUGACUACCGGUAACGGUAGCUAAUAACGCAUACCAUCAGAUGUGCCCGGAUGGGUUUAGCUAGUUGGUGGGGUAACGGCUCACCAAGGCGACGAUCCCUAGCUGGUCUGAGAGGAUGAACAGCCACACUGGAACUGAGACACGGUCCAGACUCCGACGGGAGGCAGCAGUGGGGAAUAUUGCACAAUGGGCGCAAGCCUGAUGCAGCCAUGCCGCGUGUAUGAAGAAGGCCUUCGGUUUGUAAAGUACUUUCAGCGGGGAAGCGUUACCCGCAGAAGAAGCACCGGCUAACUCCGUGCCAGCAGCCGCGGUAAUAC